rnacentral:tRNA from 1 species
GGGCCCUUAGCUCAGUGGUUAGAGCAACCGGCUCAUAACCGGACGGUCCCUGGUUCGAGUCCAGGAGGGCCCA